rnacentral:rRNA from 1 species
ACGCUCGACACCUACGGGAGGCAGCAGUGGGGAAUAUUGGGCAAUGGGCGCAAGCCUGACCCAGCAACGCCGCGUGAAGGAAGAAGGCCCUCGGGUUGUAAACUUCUUUUAUCAGGGACGAAGCAAGUGACGGUACCUGAUGAAUAAGCCACGGCUAACUACGUGCCACAGCCGCGGUAAUCUGAGCGGGCUGGCAAGGC